UACGGGGGGAGCAAGCGUUGUUCGGAUUUACUGGGCGUAAAGGGCGCGUAGGCGGUCAGCACAAGUCAGUUGUGAAAUCUCCGGGCUUAACUCGGAAAGGUCAACUGAUACCGUGCGACUAGAGUGCGGAAGGGGCAACUGGAAUUCUCGGUGUAGCGGUGAAAUGCGUAGAUAUCGAGAGGAACACCUGCGGCGAAGGCGGGUUGCUGGGCCGAUACUGACGCUGAUGCGCGAAAGCCAGGGGAGCGAACGGG
rnacentral:rRNA from 1 species